UACGGAGGGUGCAAGCGUUAUCCGGAUUUACUGGGUUUAAAGGGUGCGUAGGCGGGUCUUUAAGUCAGUGGUGAAAACUUCGAGCUCAACUCGAAAACUGCCAUUGAUACUAUUGAUCUUGAAUUUAGUUGAGGUUGGCGGAAUGUGUCGUGUAGCGGUGAAAUGCAUAGAUAUUGUCAAGAACACCAAUUGCGAAGGCAGCUUACUAAAGUAUAACUGACGCUGAGGCACGAAAGUGCGGGGAUCAAACAGG
rnacentral:rRNA from 1 species